UACGUAGGGGGCGAGCGUUGUCCGGAUUUAUUGGGCGUAAAGAGCGCGUAGGCGGCCGAGUAAGUCCGACGUGAAAUCUGGAGGCUCAACCUCCAGCGGUCGUUGGAAACUACUCGGCUAGAGACCGGAAGAGGAGAGUGGAAUUCCUGGUGUAGCGGUGAAAUGCGCAGAUAUCAGGAAGAACACCGAUGGCGAAAGCAGCUCUCUGGGACGGUACUGACGCUGAGGCGCGAAAGCGUGGGGAGCGAACAGG
rnacentral:rRNA from 1 species